rnacentral:rRNA from 1 species
CCUACGGGAGGCAGCAGUCGAGAAUCAUUCACAAUGGGGGAAACCCUGAUGGUGCGACGCCGCGUGGGGGAAUGAAGGUCUUCGGAUUGUAAACCCCUGUCAUGUGGGAGCAAAUUAAAAAGAUAGUACCACAAGAGGAAGAGACGGCUAACUAUGUGCCAGCAGCCGCGGUAAUACAGAGGUCUCAAGCGUUGUUCGGAAUCAUUGGGCGUAAAGCGUGCGUAGGCUGUUUGGUAAGUCGGUUGUGAAAGGCGCGGGCUCAACCGGCGAAUUGCACAUGAUACUGCGAGACUAGAGUAAUGGAGGGGGAACCGGAAUUCUCGGUGUAGCAGUGAAAUGCGUAGAUAUCGAGAAGAACACUCGUGGCGAAGGCGGGUUCCUGGACAUUAACUGACACUGAGGCACGAAGGUCAGGGGAGCGAAAGGGAUUAGAUACCCUAGUAGUC